AUUGAACGCUGGCGGCAUGCUUUACACAUGCAAGUCGAACGGCAGCGCGGGCUUCGGCCUGGCGGCGAGUGGCGAACGGGUGAGUAAUACAUCGGAACGUGCCCAGUAGCGGGGGAUAGCUCGGCGAAAGCCGGAUUAAUACCGCAUACGACCUGAGGGCGAAAGCGGGGGAUCUUCGGACCUUGCGCUAUUGGAGCGGCCGAUGGCAGAUUAGCUAGUUGGUGGGGUAAAGGCCUACCAAGGCGACGAUCUGUAGCUGGUCUGAGAGGACGACCAGCCACACUGGGACUGAGACACGGCCCAGACUCCUACGGGAGGCAGCAGUGGGGAAUUUUGGACAAAGGGCGAAAGCCUGAUCCAGCAAUGCCGCGUGGGUGAUGAAGGCCUUCGGGUUGUAAAGCACUUUUGGCGGGAACGAAAAGGACUGUGCCAAUACCACGGUUCGAUGACGGUACCCGCAGAAUAAGCACCGGCUAACUACGUG
rnacentral:rRNA from 1 species